rnacentral:misc_RNA from 1 species
GAAAUGCGAUAAGUAAUGUGAAUUGCAGAAUUCAGUGAAUCAUCGAGUCUUUGAACGCACAUUGCGCCCCCUGGCAUUCCGGGGGGCAUGCCUGUCCGAGCGUCAUUGCUGCCCUUCAAGCCCGGCUUGUGUGUUGGGUCGUCGUCCCCCCCGGGGGACGGGCCCGAAAGGCAGCGGCGGCACCGCGUCCUGGUCCUCGAGCGUAUGGGGCUUUGUCACCCGCUCGAUUAGGGCCGGCCGGGCGCCAGCCGACGUCUCCAACCUUUUAUUUUACCAGGUUGACCUCGGAUCAGGUAGGGAUACCCGCUGAACUUAA